rnacentral:rRNA from 1 species
GACGAACGCUGGCGGCGUGCUUAACACAUGCAAGUCGAACGGAAAGGCCCUGCUUUUGUGGGGUGCUCGAGUGGCGAACGGGUGAGAAACACGUGAGUAACCUGCCCUUGACUUUGGGAUAACUUCAGGAAACUGGGGCUAAUACCGGAUAGGAGCUCCUGCUGCAUGGUGGGGGUUGGAAAGUUUCGGCGGUUGGGGAUGGACUCGCGGCUUAUCAGCUUGUUGGUGGGGUAGUGGCCUACCAAGGCUUUGACGGGUAGCCGGCCUGAGAGGGUGACCGGCCACAUUGGGACUGAGAUACGGCCCAGACUCCUACGGGAGGCAGCAGUGGGGAAUAUUGCACAAUGGGCGGAAGCCUGAUGCAGCAACGCCGCGUGCGGGAUGACGGCCUUCGGGUUGUAAACCGCUUUCGCCUGUGACGAAGCGUGAGUGACGGUAAUGGGUAAAGAAGCACCGGCUAACUACGUG